AUGACAAUAAUAAGCUGGAACUGUCGGGGUCUUGGGCAGCCCCGGAUAGUUCAAUAGAUGGUGUGCCUUGUGCGCACGUACCGUCCAUCUCUGGCAUUUAUCUCUCAAACUAGGAAAAGCGAGGAAUAUGUCAAUGAAUUGCAUAGGAGACUAGGUCUCAAGCACUGCAUAUCCCAUGUUGGGAAGGCCAAAGGUGCCGGUGUCGCUCUAUUCUAUGAUGAGCAAGUUGAAAUAAAGAAACUCGUUGUUGGCCCUCGGUAUGUCGAUGUGUUGAUCCGUCUUAACCCCCAUGGCCGUCAAUGGAGGGGAACUUUUGUCUAUGGGGAACCAAAAGCUUGUGAGAGGCACCACAUGUGGGAUUUUCUACGGAGAAUCCGACCUCUCUCCAAUGAACCUUGGCUUAUGUUGGGGGAUUUUAAUGAAACUGCGUGGCAACAUGAACAUAUCUCCAAAACAAAGAGAAAUGAGAGAAAUAUGGCAAACUUUAGAGAGGUACUUGCUGAUUGUAAGUUGCUAGACCUUGGAUUUAGGGGACCCAAGUGGACAUAUGAUAACAAGCAGUCGGGUGAGGAUAACGUGAAAGCUAGAAUUGACCGAGGGGUCGCAGACCAGGAGUGGAGUACCAUCUUCCCAGAGGCAUCGGUUGAGCAUAUCUGCUCUUCACGAUCUGAUCAUCUCCCUAUCUUACUUAGGUUUGGGCCAAGGCAAGAGUGGAGACCAUCUCAGAAGGGUUUCCGUUAUGAAUACAUGUGA
rnacentral:rRNA from 1 species